ACUGAAGGUUCGGUUUAGGUGUAUGUCCUUUAGACACGCUGCACUUCGAUCGACUUCCUUACACCCGUAUCGAGUUUGGAGUGUUUCGACACGCGGGUCAUAGGUAUAUGACGUCGUCGAGCGGACGCUUUGGCGGAACGAUAUUUUUUUUUUUUUUUUAAUUUCAUACGCUAUUUUUAAGGUUUGCGUACAAAUAACACUUGAAACGCAAGUAUACGAUAGACACAAUCUUAUGUCAUUCGUUUGUCGAUUAAUAACGGGGAGUCGCGAUGCAUAAACAAUCAAUGAAAUGCAGUCCUCGAUAACAGGUAGGUACCUAAAACGCUGUCGUCGGUCAAAGGAUCGCGCGACACGCGAGUAUAGACAAUGAACUGCAGUCGUAACGAUCGUCGUGUAACAGUCGGACGCGUCCGACGAAUCGGUUGACAUUGAAACGACGAUUGCCAAACGCAAGCUUUACCGAACAGACGUAUAAUACACAUAAACUAGAUGUUUGUUUUAAUUCGUUUGAUUUGACGGUUUUUGAAAAAAACCUGGGACCAAUAGGUAACAAAUGAUGUCCCACGCGCAAUAUAUGACGUCGGGACUCGGAUCUCGCGUACGGUGUUUUGCCGAGUGCG